rnacentral:rRNA from 1 species
CCUACGGGAGGCAGCAGUAGGGAAUUUUCGUCAAUGGGCGCAAGCCUGAACGAGCAAUGCCGCGUGAACGAGGAAGGUCUUCGGAUCGUAAAGUUCUGUUGAAGGGGAAAAAGAGCGGAGAGAUGACAUGGUCUCCGAUUGCUAUUACCCUUCGAGGAAGUCACGGCUAACUACGUGCCAGCAGCCGCGGUAAUACGUAGGUGGCGAGCGUUAUCCGGAAUGAUUGGGCGUAAAGGGUGCGUAGGCGGCCUGCGAAGCCUGGAGUGAAAGGUUGCGGCUCAACUGGUACAGGGUUUGGAAACUGGCGGGCUAGGUGGCAAGGGAGGGCGGUGGAACUCCAUGUGUAGCGGUAAAAUGCGUAGAUAUAUGGAAGGACACCAGUGGCGAAGGCGGCCGCCUGGCCUGUUGACUGACGCUGAGGCACGAAAGCGUGGGGAGCAAAUAGGAUUAGAUACCCUUGUAGUC